GUGGGGAAUAUUGGACAAUGGGGGGAACCCUGAUCCAGCCAUGCCGCGUGUGUGAAGAAGGCCUUUUGGUUGUAAAGCACUUUAAGCGAGGAGGAGGCUACCGAGAUUAAUACUCUUGGAUAGUGGACGUUACUCGCAGAAUAAGCACCGGCUAACUCUGUGCCAGCAGCCGCGGUAAUACAGAGGGUGCAAGCGUUAAUCGGAUUUACUGGGCGUAAAGCGGGCGUAGGUGGCCAAUUAAGUCAAAUGUGAAAUCCCCGAGCUUAACUUGGGAAUUGCAUUCGAUACUGGUUGGCUAGAGUAUGGGAGAGGAUGGUAGAAUUCCAGGUGUAGCGGUGAAAUGCGUAGAGAUCUGGAGGAAUACCGAUGGCGAAGGCAGCCAUCUGGCCUAAUACUGACACUGAGGUGCGAAAGCAUGGGGAGCAAACAGGAUUAGAUACCCUGGUAGUCC
rnacentral:rRNA from 1 species